GACGAACGCUGGCGGCGUGCUUAACACAUGCGAGUCGAACGGAAAGGCCCUGCUUUUGUGGGGUGCUCGAGUGGCGAACGGGUGAGUAACACGUGAGUAACCUGCCCUUGACUUUGGGAUAACUUCAGGAAACUGGGGCUAAUACCGGCUAGGAGCUCCUGCUGCAUGGUGGGGGUUGGAAAGUUUCGGCGGUUGGGGAUGGACUCGCGGCUUAUCAGCUUGUUGGUGGGGUAGUGGCUUACCAAGGCUUUGACGGGUAGCCGGCCUGAGAGGGUGACCGGCCACAUUGGGACUGAGAUACGGCCCAGACUCCUACGGGAGGCAGCAGUGGGGAAUAUUGCACAAUGGGCGGAAGCCUGAUGCAGCAACGCCGCGUGCGGGAUGACGGCCUUCGGGUUGUAAACCGCUUUCGCCUGUGACGAAGCGUGAGUGACGGUAAUGGGUAAAGAAGCACCGGCUAAUUACGUG
rnacentral:rRNA from 1 species